AGAGUUUGAUCAUGGCUCAGAUUGAACGCUGGCGGCAUGCCUUACACAUGCAAGUCGAACGGCAGCACGGGGGCAACCCUGGUGGCGAGUGGCGAACGGGUGAGUAAUAUAUCGGAACGUGCCCUGGAGUGGGGGAUAACUAGUCGAAAGACUAGCUAAUACCGCAUACGAUCUACGGAUGAAAGUGGGGGAUCGCAAGACCUCAUGCUCGUGGAGCGGCCGAUAUCUGAUUAGCUAGUUGGUGGGGUAAAAGCCUACCAAGGCAUCGAUCAGUAGCUGGUCUGAGAGGACGACCAGCCACACUGGGACUGAGACACGGCCCAGACUCCUACGGGAGGCAGCAGUGGGGAAUUUUGGACAAUGGGGGCAACCCUGAUCCAGCAAUGCCGCGUGAGUGAAGAAGGCCUUCGGGUUGUAAAGCUCUUUUGUCAGGGAAGAAACGGUCCGGGCUAAUACCCUGGGCUAAUGACGGUACCUGAAGAAUAAGCACCGGCUAACUACGUGCCAGCAGCCGCGGUAAUACGUAGGGUGCAAGCGUUAAUCGGAAUUACUGGGCGUAAAGCGUGCGCAGGCGGUUGUGCAAGACAGAUGUGAAAUCCCCGGGCUUAACCUGGGAAUUGCAUUUGUGACUGCACGGCUAGAGUGUGUCAGAGGGGGGUAGAAUUCCACGUGUAGCAGUGAAACGCGUAGAGAUGUGGAGGAAUACCGAUGGCGAAGGCAGCCCCCUGGGAUAACACUGACGCUCAUGCACGAAAGCGUGGGGAGCAAACAGGAUUAGAUACCCUGGUAGUCCACGCCCUAAACGAUGUCAACUAGUUGUCGGGUCUUAAUUGACUUGUAACGCAGCUAACGCGUGAAGUUGACCGCCUGGGGAGUACGGUCGCAAGAUUAAAACUCAAGGAAUUGACGGGGACCCGCACAGCGGUGGAUGAUGUGG
rnacentral:rRNA from 1 species